rnacentral:rRNA from 1 species
GACGACCGCUGGCGGCGUGCUUAACACAUGCCAGUCGAACGGAAAGGCCCUGCUUUUGUGGGGUGCUCGAGUGGCGAACGGGUGAGUAACACGUGAGUAACCUGCCCUUGACUUUGGGAUAACUUCAGGAAACUGGGGCUAAUACCGGAUAGGAGCUCCUGCUGCAUGGUGGGGGUUGGAAAGUUUCGGCGGUUGGGGAUGGACUCGCGGCUUAUCAGCUUGUUGGUGGGGUAGUGGCUUACCAAGGCUUUGACGGGUAGCCGGCCUGAGAGGGUGACCGGCCACAUUGGGACUGAGAUACGGCCCAGACUCCUACGGGAGGCAGCAGUGGGGAAUAUUGCACAAUGGGCGGAAGCCUGAUGCAGCAACGCCGCGUGCGGGAUGACGGCCUUCGGGUUGUAAACCGCUUUCGCCUGUGACGAAGCGUGAGUGACGGUAAUGGGUAAAGAAGCACCGGCUAACUACGUG